CACGUAGGGUGCGAGCGUUUGUCCGGAAUUAUUGGGCGUAAAGAGCUCGUAGGCGGUGUGUCGCGUCGGCCGUGAAAACCUGCAGCUUAACUGUGGGCUUGCGGUCGAUACGGGCAUCACUGGAGUUCGGCAGGGGAGACUGGAAUUCCUGGUGUAGCGGUGAAAUGCGCAGAUAUCAGGAGGAACACCGGUGGCGAAGGCGGGUCUCUGGGCCGAUACUGACGCUGAGGAGCGAAAGCGUGGGGAGCAAACAGG
rnacentral:rRNA from 1 species